GGGCCCGUAGCCUAGCCAGGAUAGGGCGCCGGCCUUCUAAGCCGGUGGUCCUGGGUUCAAAUCCCCGCGGGCCCG
rnacentral:tRNA from 1 species